UCUGUGGUUCAAUAGUCAUCCAGUGAUUGAUAAAGAGGUAUAUGCAAAUAAAACAGUCAGAGUCUUCAGGAGUAACCUUUUUUAUUACCAUUACUGGCACACAGCCACUCAGACAUCUUAUUUAUGGAUAUUCAUUUUAAUUAAUUUUUUGUGCAGGAUGAUAUUUUGUAUUAAUUUCCAACAUUACAGCAUACAACUUCUAUGGAGGGGAGAAGAUGUUCUGAUCGUGGUGGACAAGUUGACAUGAAGUUUCUGGAAGAGAAGAAAUGGAAAUUAAGGUUUUUAUAAGUUUUUUUUUUUAUUUGGGUUCCACACUUGUGUACUUAAAAAACUCCUUUGCCACUCUGUUCAAUAUAACAUGGUGAGUUGUCUACCUGAAGCAAAACUAGAUUCAAGGAGAGUCAUGGUCCUUGGAUUAGGUGCACUUAAUCUUUUUGAGGUUAUUGUUCUUGCUUUCAUGUUAUAGUUGAGAAUACUGUUAUUUUAAUGGUUUCUAGUAGUCGUCUCUCAAUUGUUUUCCUCAUGAAUAUUUUUUGAAGGGACACUGCAGUUGUAUCAAAUGAAUAUCAAAUUUUUGGCUACGUUAUAUCCUUUACUUCAGGAGAAAUGCUGGGAUAGAAAAGAGAAAUGGAGUCAGGGAACAGCAUGCUUGAAUCGCCAGGUCCUUCACUAAAACAGAAGGAGUGCAAGGCACAUGGCCUAAAGAACAGUUAUAGGACAGGAUUGUUUUGUCUACACUAGCGAUAGAGACCUGCUGGAGCAAAAUUAUGAAGCUCAAAUUGGAAUAGCAGAUUUCUGGAGAUUGGGAAGUCAGAUUGAUUGGCUAUAAGGAUUUGUCCUUACAAAGAAGCAAAGCAAAUAUGGGAGUCAAUGAUAGCCAAAUACACUGCUGAAGAUGUUGGGAAACAGAAGUUCAUGAUUGGCAACUUCUAUCGACGGAAGAUGACAAAUGACAAGGACAUCAAGAGUUAGAUCAAUGAAUACCACAAGCUGGUGGAUGAUUUGAAGGUUGAAAAAAUCAACUUGCAAGAAGAGUUCGUUGCUCGGUUGUUGAUUAAGAAGCUACCAGAGUCCUGGAAUGGAUACAAGCAACAACUGAAGCACAAUGAAAAACAGUUGUCACUUGCAAAUUUGAUUGUGCACAUCAUCAUUGAAGACACAACCCGAAGGGAGAUUAAGACCUCCAAAGCUAAGGAAGUUGUAACUAAAGUCAAUCUGGUGCAAGGCAGAAUCUAGGGUCAACAAAGAUACCCUUACAAACCUAAUCAUAAACCCAAAGCUCCUCAUCUCACUUUCAAAAAGAAGGGUAGUUGUUUUGUCUGUGGAAAGCCAAGGCAUCAUGCAGCACAAUGCAAGAAAAUAGUAAAGAGAAAUGAUAAACCUAUUAAUUCAAGAGUCAACUUGGUCAAAGCAGAUGAAUUUGAUGAUGUAAUUGCUGCAGUCAUUUCACAAGCAAAUAUGGUGGCCAGUUUGAAGGAAUGGGUGGUAGACUCAAGUGCUACCAGGCAUAUUUGUGCAAACAGAAAUGCUUUUACCUCCUAUACUCCAAUAGAGGAGGGAGAAGAGACAAUAUACCUUGGUGAUUCUCAAAUUGCUCAAGUUAUUGGUAAAGGAAAAGUCCUUCUCAAGUUCACAUCUGGCAAGACCCUAACUCUGAAUAAUGUUCUUCAUAUUCCCAAUAUAAAGGCAAACCUGGUAUUUGUGGCCUUAUUAGGCAAGGUUGGGUUGAAAAUGUCAUUCGAAUCUGACAAGAUCAUGAUCACAAAAAAUAAUGUGUUUGUGGGUAAGGGUUAUUGCAAUUAAAGACUCCUUGUACUUAACGUUUCCAAUGUUUUGAAUGAAAA